UAAGGAAUAUUGGUCAAUGGACGCAAGUCUGAACCAGCCAUGCCGCGUGAAGGAUGAAGGUCCUCUGGAUUGUAAACUUCUUUUAUAUGGGACGAAACCCUCGGAUUCCUCCGGGAUUGACGGUACCAUAGGAAUAAGCACCGGCUAACUCCGUGCCAGCAGCCGCGGUAAUACGGAGGGUGCAAGCGUUAUCCGGAUUCACUGGGUUUAAAGGGUGCGUAGGAGGGCAGGUAAGUCAGUGGUGAAAUCUCCAAGCUUAACUUGGAAACUGCCGUUGAUACUAUCUGUCUUGAAUACCGUGGAGGUGAGCGGAAUAUGUCAUGUAGCGGUGAAAUGCUUAGAUAUGACAUAGAACACCAAUUGCGAAGGCAGCUCGCUACACGAAUAUUGACUCUGAGGCACGAAAGCGUGGGGAUCAAACA
rnacentral:rRNA from 1 species